GGGGAGUACGGUCGCAAGACCGAAACUCAAAGGAAUUGACGGGGCCCUGCACCAGCGGUGGAGCAUGUGGUUUAAUUUGAUACAACAUGCAAAACCUUACCAGCCCUUGACAUAUGAACAACAAAACCUGUCCUUAACAGGAUGGUACUGACUUUCAUACAGGUGUUGCAUGGCUGUCGUCAGCUCGUGUCAUGAGAUGUUUGGUCAAGUCCUAUAACGAGCGAAACCCUCGUUUUGUGUUGCUGAGACAUGCGCCUAAGGAGAAAUUGCCACCGAGUGACGUGCCAGCCCUACUACUUGAUUGAGUGCCAGCACGUAGCUGUGCUUUCAGCAAGAAUUUCACCAUUAGGAGCCGGUGCCUUCCGAAGCACUUUCACGUGUGAAACGAAGUCGUCUUGCCCAAGACCCACGGAGACCUACCUAUAGUGACGUCAAAGUACCAGUGAGCAUGGAGAUUUGGUUGAAAUUUGUUACGACGACGUCGACUUGGCGGCGGAGGAAGACUCGUCAUGAAGGCCAGAAAAUGGUGUGGAACGUAGUGGUAAUACUAUGCACCCCGCUCCGAAUCAAAGAAAAAAGUGCGUGCCGCACUCAAGAGGGACUGCCAGUGAGAUACUGGAGGAAGGUGGGGAUGACGUCAAGUCCGCAUGGCCCUUAUGGGCUGGGCCACACACGUGCUACAAUGGCAAUGAUAAUGGGAAGCAAGGCUGUAAGGCGGAGCGAAUCCAGAAAGAUUGCCUCAGUUCGGAUUGUUCUCUGCAACUCGGGAACAUGAAGUUGAAAUUGCUAGUAAUCGCGGAUCAGCAUGCCACGGUGAAUAUGUACCCGGGCCCUACACACACCGCUCGUCACACCCUGGGAAUUGGUUUCGCCCGAAGCAUCGGACCAAUGAGCACCCAUGACUUCUGUGUACCACUAGUGCCACAAAGGCCUUUGGUGGUCUUAUUGGCACGGUGGGGUCUUCGACUGGGGUGAAGUCGUAACAAGGUAGCCAUAGGGGAACCUGUGGCUG
rnacentral:rRNA from 1 species